rnacentral:rRNA from 1 species
AGUUGAUCAUGGCUCAGGAUGAACGCUAGCUACAGGCUUAACACAUGCAAGUCGAGGGGCAGCAUGAUCUAGCUUGCUAAGAUGAUGGCGACCGGCGCACGGGUGAGUAACGCGUAUCCAACCUUCCCUAUAGUAGGGGGAUAGCCCGUAGAAAUGCGGAUUAAUACCCUAUGUUGUAUUUAGAUGACAUCUGACGAAUACCAAAGGUUCACCGCUAUAGGAUGGGGAUGCGUCUGAUUAGGUAGUCGGCGGGGUAACGGCCCACCGAGCCAGCGAUCAGUAGGGGUUCUGAGAGGAAGGUCCCCCACAUUGGAACUGAGACACGGUCCAAACUCCUACGGGAGGCAGCAGUGAGGAAUAUUGGUCAAUGGGCGAGAGCCUGAACCAGCCAAGUAGCCGUGCAGGAUGACGGCCCUAUGGGUUGUAAACUGUCUUUUAUGCGGGGAUAAAGUGGGGGACGUGUCCCCCUUUGUAGGUACCGCAUGAAUAAGGACCGGCUAAUUCCGUGCCAGCCGCAGC